rnacentral:lncRNA from 1 species
GAUCCUCUUGAGCCUCCCAAGUUUAAGCAUAAGAGGGUACCUAAGGCUUCGGGGUCUCCACCUGUGCCAGUGAUGCAUUCCCCUCCACGUCCUGUUACUGUGAAGGAUCAGCAGGACUGGAAAAUUCCACCUUGUAUUUCAAACUGGAAGAAUCCAAAAGGGUAUACUAUUCCGCUGGAUAAGCGUCUUGCUGCUGAUGGAAGAGGUUUACAGGAGGUUCAGAUUAACGAUAACUUUGCAAAGCUGUCUGAGGCUUUGUAUGUUGCAGAGCAGAAGGC